AAAGCAAAGAAAUGAAGGAGAGAGAGAGGGCGGGAGGGAGGGAGGGUUUUGCAAGGCAGGGGGAUUGACAUUUCAAGGUAACAUAGAUUUGAAGUUCAUAAAUUUAUGUUCUGUUGGAUUUUCUAUCGAUGGUAGUGUUGCCGCAGUUCUAUGGGCAUACUCAUUUAAUGCCAUUGUUGAUCUUUUGUUCAACGAUAUGAUUGUAGAUAAAUCCCCUGUAAUUGUAAGCUUUCUUCUGCAAGCGUGUUAGAUAGAGAGGAUUUGUUUUGUACCCUUCAGUGGCUUCUCGUCUUUUAAAUUCAAGCAUCAAUUGCUUCAUUUGCAACUGGAUGCUGUGUAUUUGUCAUUGAUAGAGUUCUUUGUGAUCAUUUAUGUGCGUGUUUUGUUGGUGAAUUGUUGGAUCAAACGAAAUGAUAGAAAUGCCCAGUUUAGAAUACAUUUGAGACGGAAGAUUAAUGCAAAGUAAUAGGGAGAAUUAUAAGAGCUUGAAUGAGUUUAAUAUAUGUAUGGAUUAUAUAAGUUGGUUAUACACUGAUAAGUAAGUUCAUACACGUCUAUAUAUAUAUAUAUAUAUAUAUAUACGAGCCUUUUUCUUUCAUUUGUUAGGCCUUCCUUUAUUUAGUAUUAAUUGUUUUAAUAAAUUAGGAAAUAGGAAGGGUAUCUCGAGUGUGUAAGUUACUUGAAAUGGCUUAGCUAGUCAAUACGUUUUCUCUGUGUAUUUCACUGGAAGUCUCUUUGGGGUGUUGACUAUAUUGUGGGUCGAUAGUGGACUAGAAAUUUUCUUCCUUAUUCAGGUUGUCCUGCUUACGAUAAAUUCUCUCUGGACUGUUGCUUAAAUAAUCAAAGAACUGAUUUCAUUAAGUUUUGAACUUUGAGGAAAUUCUGAUUUAGAAUUUUAAGGUCAUGGAGAUGGCUAGAGUGGAAACUUGGAUUUAAAGAGGUGGUUUCCUGCCUUGCACUAAUCUUGAUUGGGUUGAGAUUUUCUAUUUUGGUGUGAAUGAUCUUCAUUAAGUUGAAACUCAUCAUGAAAAAUUCAUGAAUAAAUUAAGUUGGAAAUAUAUAAGCAUAUUCUUAUUUAUACUUGACAAUGGAUUUUUAAUGGAGAUUAAGUGAGCGGAGAAAAUGAUUAUUAAUAUUUUAUUAUGAAUUUGCUCAUUUUACUGUUUAAAAUGUUACGAGAUUAAUUGGUUUUGUUUGGGAAUAUUUUCAUAUUUUUGAAUUAAUUGUGAGGACGUCAAAUGGUGAAUUAAGUAAUAGGAAAGGUUCGGUACUAACUUGCAUCAUGCCAUGAAGCAUUAUUCUGUAGAUUUAUCUAAGAUAAAAUUAUAAAGAGAUCAUGGGGUUAAUGAGGUGCUAUUUUCAUUAUUUUAGUGCUAGAUAAGCAUACUAGAGACUAGUCAUAUUGAAAUGGAGAACUAGUUUGCAAUAUAAUAUAUAAGUUUUAGGGGAAUAAACGUACUGUCAAAGAGUAUGAUUAGUUACUUGGUGGUGUGAUAUAUGCUUAUAAAUUGGUUUCUUGUUAAAUUUAUUAUCUGUCAAGAAUGGAGUAUACCAAAGUCAUGUAUCUCGAAGACUUGAACUUGGCGAUUUAUUUUUUGGAGUUAUCGGUGAGUACUUUAUUCCAUUGUGAAAUGAUAUAUAUAUAUACACAUAUAUGUUAUGUGAGUACUAUAUUCCCUUGUAAAAUGAUGUAUUAUAAUUAUAUAAAUUAUUUAAGAAGAUUAUUGUGAUAGAUUAAGGAAUUGGUUUUGCUAUGUUAUGUGAAAGGAUUUAAGAGAUAUUGCCCUUUUAUGUUUUAUUUGACUAGAGAUAUGCAAUGUGAUUGUAUAUGUUGAUUAUGUAUGACGUAUGUGAUGAUAGUGUGAUACCAUUGUAAUGUGAUUUGGAUUGUGCUUGUGUAUACUGAUAUUGCUUGAUUAUAGCCAUUGGACCGCUGGAUUUGGCGGAAUAGAAAAUAGGGCCCGAAUGGCCGCUGUACCCGGCAGAAUAGAAAAUAGGGCUCGAAUGACCAUUGGACCCGGCGGAAUAGAAAAUGGGAUUCGAACAGCAGCUGGACCCGGCGGAAUAGAAAAUGGGACCCGAAUGAUUGCUGGACCUGGCGAAAUAGAAAAUGGGGCUCGGACGACCGCUGGACCCGGCGGAAUAGAAAAUGGGGCAUGAAUGAGAUGCGCGGGGUCACGGUACCGUCCUAACUUGUCGUGAGAAAAUGCGAUCCUAUAGCUAUAUUGAUUGGUUGUGUUAUAUAUUGUUUGUUUGGUUUGAUUGCUGUAAAUGUGAUGAUUGUUGAGAUUGUCUGAAAUUGUUCUGUGAAAGCCAUGUUUGCUAAAGUUUGAUUUAGUCAGUGUAUGAGUGUUAGUUGGUACUGAGUUAAUGGUUAAUCCUAAUAUUAUUAUAUGGUUAUUAAGAUAAUUGAUUGUUUACGAAUGAAUUUAGUUAUUAUUUAUAUGUAUGGUAUAAUAUGUUGUGUUGGUGUAUUAAAUGACGGACUUGAGUAUGCUAAUAUUAUAUAUAUGAAUGUUUGGUUAUUUAAAAAAAUAUUAUCUUUGUUCAUUUAAAAAAUAUAUAUAUAGUUAAUAAUAAUUUAUUUCACUCUGGAAUUUUGUGCUUACUGAGAUGGGGAUCAGCUCGGAGGACUAUAUAGGGACCUUAAUUAUUUGAUAAGUAUUCUUUUUGUAUAGAAUGUAUUUGAAUAUGUUACGAUCCGAAAUUUUUGUUUAGUUGGUUUAGUGAUGUGGCUCUUUUAGAAUGUAUAUAUAUAUGUGUGUGUGCGCGCGCGCGCGCACGUGAGAGCUUACUGGAUUUGUUAUAUAUAUAUAUAUAUAUAUAUUUUGGAGUUUAUGAAAAGCGGGUUUUAUUUGAAUAGUUUAUGUGAUAAUGUAUAUCGAGAAAAUUUAGGGAAAAUUCUGAUGAAAUUUCGAGUCGUGACAAUUGACAUGAUCACGGCAUCGAAUUACGUUGGUAAAUCGUCGAUGGUGAACGUGCGAGAGGCCGAAGUUUUUAACUUGGGGAAGGGAAGAGAAAUUGGUGACCAUCAAUGGCUCCAGAAGAGUCUCGCUUGAGUCGGCCUGGUACGUCAAGGGGUGGAUUGGAUCGAUGCCAAGCUGCGAGGGAUUCAGACGGCAGAAGAUCGGGGUUGGUUGCACCUCUAUGCGGCGGUAGAUCAACGAUGGGUUGGUUAGGUGGAGGUGGAAGAAAAGGGUGGGCGGUGGAAGAGCAGUAGCGGAGAUGCCGGUUGAUCGAGAAAGAAGAGGAGAAACGAUCUUUAAAUGCAUGGGAAAGAUGAUCGCAGUCGGAUGCACCCAGUUAGAGCCGGACGCGCCGGCGGUAGCUACGAGAUAGGGUAGGGGUUACUGUGUUAGGGUUUGGGGAGUGCGAGCGAGCAGUGGAAACGAGGUUAUAUUCGUGGAUUUGUUAUCUCCGAAAUUGGGUCCGGCACAUUUGCAGUCAACAGAUUGGAUUCAUCUUUCAUUUCUUGGAGUUUUAUUUUAUUUCUUGAAUUGCAGCCAAGAAAUUAGAGAUUGGACUUCGAUAUGAGAAAUCUCUAUUGCCAGCAAAACAUGACUACCACGUUAGCAUAAAAAAAGGGUAAUUAAUGUUAAAGAAGGAGUUGUCGGUGGAAAUUACCUUUUCUUCUAAUUAAAUUUAGUAUUUGAAAUUUUUUUGGAUAAUGCGAGUCUUUGCGAAAAUUUGAAAAAAAAAAAUUCAUUACUAUGUUACUUUUGCUAAAGAGAUUCAAAUUUUCGGCCCGGGAUCGUUUCUUGAAAAUAAAUAAAUAAAUAAAAAGAACUAUCAGAUCUCAUAUUCGGAUUCGAAUAUUAAAAUAUUAUCUACAAGCGUAAAAUAUAUAUAUAUAUGUAUAGAUAUUUUAUUGUUGUAAAAUCUAGAUAAUAUAUCCACAUUGAUCUACAUAUCCGAAUAAAAUUCAGUUUUAGGUUCACCACCGUCUCAAUUUUUGUAUUUAUACGUCCUUGACCAUUCAUCAGUUCUCAUCUCAUGCACAUAAAAAAGAGAAAAUUGCGCUGGAGAUCAUGUUGCUGGAAGGCACAAGAUCGGCAGAGCAAUAUUGGAAGCUCGAGUUGAAGAUUGAUGGACAUAGCAAGAUCAGAGAACGUCUCCGGAUCACAAUUUCGCCAAGGAAUGCGGCCACUAAGUCCCUUCUUGAUGCAGUUUUCGUUCUCAUGUAUUUACGCAGCAAUUGAUUGCCAGCUACUGCGUCAUCAGUUUAUGAAGUGAUUUCAUAUUUUAUGCAUGUGAUAAAAUAUGAAAUCACUUCAUAAAAUGAAUAUCAGGUAGCAACAAUAAAAAAUAUUGGCAGAGGGGCGAAUUUUCGUAAUAUGAAGAUGAGAACGUGCAUGAUGGACAGGGGAAUUCAUCGUAAAAAUGCGCAGGGGUCAUCUCAACUGUCUGUUCAAGUCCGACUCCCACAAUCUUAUUUGCCAAGCAAGAGCGCACAGGAGGACAAUAAAACAUAAGCGAAUAAGUUAUGCAGAAGAGUACGAAUACUAGGUCCGAUACUUGGAAGGUCAGGACACCAACCUGAUCUGUUACGUUUUCAGGAACAGAUGGUAUCCUCUCGGCAACCCGGAGAUGUGCAUUUUGCUGAAGGAAGGACAUUAUCUGCGUUGGAUGAGAGGCAGAGAAGCCUUUAAGGUUCAAUAACGUCUUCAAAUUGAGAUUCCGAUUGCUCUUGUUUUAAGCUCUACAUGCAUGUUUGUUAGACCCGGAUUAGAGGGAAGACAUGAUUAGAGGGAGACCGGACAGUAUUAGGGCUGGAUCAGUGUUUGGUAACGACAAGAUUAGGAUUUGAUUGGAUUGGAAUAUGUCAGGAUGCAACAUUAGCCACUAACAUCAGGGGGAAGGGAGGAUUGAACCCGGAAAGGGAUGUGAUCAUUACUGAAAGGACCAAAUGCCCCUAACUUUUUCUGAUUAACAAAAUAUGCCAUCAGUCCUUUUUUUUA